CUUCUACGGGCCACCCGUUUCAUGGCAGCUUUAACUUUCAUUCAUUCAUUCGUGCAGCAUUUUCGGAAGUUUCAGGUAGGAUUUGAGCCCUCCCCAGGGCAGAAGGAACAUCGGAGGCCAAAAUUAUCAUUCACUGAGGCAGGACGUUUCAGAUGAUUAAAGUCUAGGAAGCCAGCCACCAUGUUGUAAGGACACUCAAGCAGUCAUCUUCCAGAGAACCACACGUGAUGAAGAACCAAGUCCGUCAGCCUUCUUGUGACUCCACCAUCCGCAAACAUGGCUUGCAUCUCAUGGUGUAAGACGGACACACCAAUGCCCAACACCACGUCUCUACUCCAGUACCAGGAAGAGAUGAGGACAGUGACACAGAGGAAGGACCACCUGAAGACAUAGGGAGAAGACAGUGAUCUAGGAGCCAAGGAGGGAGGCCUUAGGAGAAACCAGCACUGCUGACACCUUGAUCGCAG